CUGAAUAUUCAGCGAGUCCCGCCCCGCGGCCUCAAAUGACGAGCACGCCCCAAACACGACACGGACGUUAACGCUGCGAAGUAAAACUACGAGAACGUUACAUUAAUGUGAAAAAGACGUGGUAUGCACAAUAAAACAAAUCAAGUUCGCUAAAUACGCUGAUUUGCUUCGUAAAGAGCACGUGUCUUCUGCUUUUAAAAAAAACUUUUUUAUUCAUGCUUUCGUCGUAUUUUACUUAAGCUCUUUUUGCAGUUCUGGCUACGGUGUAAUUUCUAGAUUCUAAUACUUGAAACAUCUUAGUAACUAGUUGUGUGACGUCUGAAACCAAGGACUGCACCGUGAUGCUUAGGGGACGUAUUUGAGAGGGACGCUGAUUUUCAUUUCAUUUUCUUUUCACGUGUCUAAUUCAUUUUUAAGUUGCUUUCACUGUGACCUACAUAUAAACUACUGUACGUCUACCCUCCUUCCUCUCUCGCUCUCUCUCUCCUGCCUAAUGGUCCUGAGCCUUUUAUGUGACAUUUCUAUGUUGCUGCGCGCGGACGCUUCCUGAGACACAAAAAGGAGCGUGUCCUCAUUAAUGUCAUUAGUUCCACCUGGACCUUUCAUGCUGUAACACAGUCCAAAUGUCAGCUGUUGAAAGGUCAGGCCAAUGAGGAUGAUAUGUCCUGCUACAGGUCACAGGGGGUCAAUGCUGUAUGAAUAAUUUCACAACAAACAACAGAUCACGGCUUUGACAGCAUGAGAUACUGCCCCCAGCCACAACACAGGGAAGGAAACAGAUAUUUCCCUGCCGUCAGUGCUCGGGCUCCGGGUCCAGUUCUGUCCCAGAUGAUUGUUUCUGCUCUGACAGGCUGAAGGAUUGAAUGCCUGUGCAGUGGUUGGACAGAGACACGUCCUUUGUGCUGCAGUGUCCAGCUGAUGAUAAAUUCAGAAGUUCAGCGUGAGCAAAACACAGAAACUGAGCUCAAUGAAAGACUGAAAUCAAAGCCAGGCAAGUCUGUUGCAUCACCUCCUCUCGCGCAAGAGAAGCUUGAAUUCUUUUUCUCCCACACUGGUGGCCUCCAGUGACUGUGUUGAUUGAACCAUUGUGUUGUCAUUUUUUUCUUUGUCUAUGAACUGUACAUGAAUGUGACAAAUUUUAAUCUACUUCAUUUUUGGUAGAGCGCCAUGUAUAAAAUAACUUUACCGCCCCCUACUGGAGAAAUACAGCUACGCAGUAAAUACAAAUAAGAAAAAU